AACGAACGCUGGCGGCGUGCUUAACACAUGCAAGUCGAACGGAAAGUCCCUGCUUUUUUGGGGUGCUCUACUUGCGACCUGGUGAGUAACCCGUGAGUACCCUGUCCUUGCCUUUGGGAUAUCUUCAGGAAACUUGGGCUACUCCCGGAUAGGAUCUCCUGCUGCUUGGUGGGGGUUGGAUGGUUUCGGCGGUUGGGGAUGGACUCGCCUCUCAUCAGCUUGUUGCUGGGGUAGUGGCAUACCAAGGCCUGGACGCGUAGCCGGCCUGAGCGGGUGACCGGCCACAUUGGGCCGGAGAUACGGCACAGACGCCUAUGGUAGGCAGCGGUGGGGAAGAUUGCACAAUGGGCGGAAGCCUAGUGCAGCCACGCCGCGUGGGGUAUGACGUGCAUCGGGUUGUAUUGCGCAUCCGCCUGUGACGAAGCGUUAGUGACGGUACUGGGUAAAGAAGCACCGGCUAACUACGUG
rnacentral:rRNA from 1 species